rnacentral:lncRNA from 10 species
CGUCAAGCCAUGCAAUUCAGCGGAGGAAAGUGACUAAUAGCGGGGGCCAUCUGGCCAGCCACACUUCCACUGGGAACACUGGGAUAUGCAAUUCUACAACAUCACUUUCAUCAGCUGCAUGAAACUUGCACGAAGGUUAUUCAAAGUAUGAUUACUUUUGUGUCUCAAACUAACCAGAGACCCUUGGAUGAGACCAGCUGAAGAACUGCCUGCAGCUGAGUAUGAGAGUGUGAGGCAGGGAGCAGUGGACAAAUGCUGACAUUUACCAGCUAGAGGCCUUCACAAAGUAACUCCAACUUUCUGACCUUCAGAUUCCUCAUCUACCUUGAGGAAAUUGUUUCAAGAGUUCAAGUAAAUUGCACACAUGGCCGGUGCAGUGGCUUGUAUCUGUAAUCCCAGCAACUUGGGAGGCUGAAGUGGGAGGAUCACUUGAGGCCGCCUGUUAGAGACCAGCCUGGGCAACAUAGAGAUACCCUAUCUCUUUUAAAAAUUUGUUUUUAAUUAGCCAGGUGUGGUGGUACACACCCAUAGUCCCAGCUACUCAGAAGGCUGGGGAAGGUGGAUCACUUGAGCCCAGGGGUUCUAGCUUU